CUUGGUUAGGUGCUGGCUGGAAUAAACAAACAAAAUCCACAAGUCAAAGACUAUUUUAGAGAAAUUUUAAGAUGGUUGUAAAAUGUUUAAGCCAUACUCUCACCUGGAUUUAUUCCUACACUUUUAGUUCAAAACUUAACAUUUUAGAAGAUGCAGAUUCUAAU